rnacentral:rRNA from 1 species
AUUGAACGCUGGCGGCAGGCCUAACACAUGCAAGUCGAACGAGUGGCGGACGGGUGAGUAAUGUCUGGGAAACUGCCUGAUGGAGGGGAAUAACUACUGGAAACGGUAGCUAAUACCGCAUACCAUCGGAUGUGCCCAGAUGGGAUUAGCUAGUAGGUGGGGUAAAGGCUCAACUAGGCGCCGAUCCCUAGCGGGGCUGAGAGGAUGACCUGCAAAACUGGAACUAAGACACGGUCCAGACUCCUACGGGAGGCAGCAGUGGUGAAUAUUGCACAAUGGGCGCAAGCCUGAUGCAGCCAUGCCGCGUGUAUGAAGAAGGCCUUCGGGUGGGAAAGUACUUUCAGCGGGGAGGCGUUACCCGCAGAAGAAGCACCGGCUAACUCCGUGCCAGCAGCCGCGGUAAUAC